rnacentral:tRNA from 1 species
GAACUUUUCGCCGAGCGCGCGAAGUUCCAUCAACGGUCAAACCUCACGAAGUUCCCUGAA